rnacentral:rRNA from 1 species
GACGAACGCUGGCGGCGUGCUUAACACAUGCAAGUCGAACGGAAAGGCCCUGCUUUUGUGGGGUGCUCGAGUGGCGAACGGGUGAGUAACACGUGAGUAACCUGCCCUUGACUUUGGGAUAACUUCAGGAAACUGGGGCUAAUACCGGAUAGGAGCUCCUGCUGCAUGGUGGGGGUUGGAAAGUUUCGGCGGUUGGGGAUGGACUCGCGGCUUAUCAGCUUGUUGGUGGGGUAGUGGCUGACCAAGGCCUUGACGGGUAGCCGGCCUGGGAGGGUGACCGGCCACAUGGGGACUGAGAUACGGCCCAGACUCCUACGGGAGGCAGCAGUGGGGAAUAUUGCACAAUGGGCGGAAGCCUGAUGCAGCAACGCCGCGUGCGGGAUGACGGCCUUCGGGUUGUAAACCGCUUUCGCCUGCGACGAAGCGUGAGUGACGGUAAUGGGUAAAGAAGCACCGGCUAACUACGUG